CUUCCUCCUAGCCUCGUGAGACCUUGGACACUUGAUUUACCCUUUCUGUGCCUCAGCGUCUUGGGUGAGAGUUGUACUUGUCCCCUAGAGUUAGAACGCGGACUGAGCUCCGUAAAAUGGUGGUUGAUAUCCCCAUUUCAUGGACCAGGAAACUGAGGCUCAGGAACUUUGGUGAUGUGUCCAAACUUCGGCAGGGCCAGGAGCAGGGCCAGGAGCAGGGCCAGGAGGCAGCGGAGGCUCAGGGAUGAGGGGGCUGUGGAGUGGGCCUCGUUCCCUGGCCACAGAGGCAGGAUCCGAAGGCUGGUUGCCUGCCUGAACCCAUCAUGCCUCUCUCCAAGAAUAAUACAUGACCACGACGUUCCAGAGCAGCACUCUUUGGAGGGCAUUCUGCUAGGAACCAGCCCAUUUGUGGAGACAGCAACACCCAGCCAUGUCUUGUGCUCUCCUGUCCCACCACCUCCUCUCCAAGCCUCCGGCUCUGGCCCCCAGGGAACUGCAGACAGACACAGGCCCUGGAGAGCCGCAAGUUCUCCAGGGCACCUCCUCCAGCUCCAGUGGCUUUUCUCUUGAGUCUGCUUCAAUCCCAGUUCUCCCGGAUUCACAAAGGACCACAGGCGUCUAGCUCUCCUGGGGAUGUGACAAAACCCCCAAAUAUACUCCUAUUAUUUGUUAAACACACACAUGCUCUCUGCUAGCUCUUUAGGAAGGAGAACAGGUGUCCAGAGUUUGAAAUCAGCCCUUAGAACCAGACUAAAGCAAAAUCAGGAAUUGAAAGAGGCCUGCCUUCCCCUUUCUUCUUUCUCAAAGUUCUUCUCUACCUUGAACCAUUAAUGCCUCCACCUCUUCCGAGACAUCCUGCAGGGGCCCAGCUGAGGCCUGCCGCUAUCCUGGGCUCACUCUCUCUUUCUACUCUCCACCGCAUAGAAUUCACAGGGCUUCUUGACUAUGACCCAAGAUUUCAAAUUGAGAAGCUCUGAUAAAGUCCUUCACGCUGAGUCCUUCACUGAGUACCUGCCAAAGGUCAUAAACCCAAAACACUGAGGCUGGAUGAGUAUAAUUUGGGGUGGCUUUUCUGAUACCCCUCCCCAAAUCAUCGACCUUGUUGUCCCCUCAAGCAGAAGUACAGGGCACUGUGCAGUAAUUGAGAACACCUAAGAAUUUUCUUCUCCUGUAGUUCUACUGUCAGUCUCGGAGACGAGUCAAGGGAAGUCUCCAGGAUCUGAACACUGAUCUAAUUAACGCUCGUUACCCAGGACCUUGCUUGGGACACGUCUUGAUUCGGGGCUACCCGGACAGAAGAGAUGACCGCGGUGGCAGCAUACCACG